rnacentral:rRNA from 1 species
GGGCCCGCGUUUCAUUAGCUUGUUGGCGGGGUAACGGCCCACCAAGGCAUCGAUGGGUAGCCGAUUUGAGAGGAUGAUCGGCCACACUGGAACUGAAACACGGUCCAGACUCCUACGGGAGGCAGCAGUGGGGAAUAUUGCGCAAUGGGCGAAAGCCUGACGCAGCGACGCCGCGUGAGGGAUGAAGGUUUUCGGAUCGUAAACCUCUGUCAGAAGGGAAGAAACUACGUUGUGCUAAUCAGCAGCGUACUGACGGUACCUUCAAAGGAAGCACCGGCUAACUCCGUGCCAGCAGCCGCGGUAAUACGGAGGGUGCAAGCGUUAUUCGGAAUUACUGGGCGUAAAGCGCACGUAGGCCGCUUUGUAAGUCAGGGGUGAAAUCCCACGGCUCAACCGUGGAACUGCCCUUGAAACUGCAGAGCUUGAAUCCUGGAGAGGGUGGCGGAAUUCCUGGUGUAGGAGUGAAAUCCGUAGAUAUCAGGAGGAACACCGGUGGCGAA